rnacentral:rRNA from 1 species
CACAGGGAGGUAGUGACAGUAAAUAACAAUGCAGGACCAUCUUGGUUUUGCAAUUGGAAUGAGAACAAUUUAAAUCCCUUAUCAAGUAACAAUUGGAGGGCAAGUCUGGUGCCAGCAGCCGCGGUAAUUCCAGCUCCAAUAGCGUAUAUUAAAGUUGUUGCAGUUAAAAAGCUCGUAGUUGAACCUUGGGCAAGAUGACUCUGGUCGAUCGCAAGAUCGUACUAGAGCGUCACGCCUCUAUUGGGGGACUUGUCGUUCUGCGGCAAGGUAACCCGUGUUACUGUGAAGAAAUUAGAGUGUUUAAAGCAGGCGAUCGCUUGAAUACAUCAGCAUGGAAUAACAAGAUAUGACUCCGGUCUUUCUUGUUGGUUUGAGGGCUAGAGUAAUGAUUAAUAGGGCCAGUUGGGGGCAUUAGUAUUCAGUAGUCAGAGGUGAAAUUCUUGGAUUUACUGAAGACUAACUAGUGCGAAAGCAUUUGCCAAGGAUGUUUUCAUUAAUCAAGAACGAAAGUUAGGGGAUCGAAGACGAUCAGAUACCGUCGUAGUCUUAACUAUAAACGAUGCCGACUAAGGAUCGGCAGAAGUCGUUUGCGACUCUGUCGGCACUUUGUGAGAAAUCAAAGUUUUUGGGUUCUGGGGGGAGUAUGGUCGCAAGGCUGAAACUUAAAGGAAUUGACGGAAGGGCACCACCAGGAGUGGAGCCUGCGGCUUAAUUUGACUCAACACGGGAAAACUCACCAGGUCCGGACAUAGUAAGGAUUGACAGAUUGAGAGCUCUUUCUUGAUUCUGUGGGUGGUGGUGCAUGGCCGUUCUUAGUUGGUGGAGUGAUUUGUCUGGUUAAUUCCGAUAACGAACGAGACCUUAACCUGCUAACUAGUUGUGAAUACGCGAGUAUUUAAGACUUCUUAGAGGGACUGACUAUGUUUAAUAGUCGGAAGUUUGAGGCAAUAACAGGUCUGUGAUGCCCUUAGAUGUUCUGGGCUGCACGCGCGCUACAAUGACAAAGUCAGCGAGUACAACCUUGGCCGAGAGGCUUGGGAAAUCUUGUGAAACUUUGUCGUGCUGGGGAUAGAUCAUUGCAAUUAUUGGUCUUGAACGAGGAAUUCCUAGUAAGCGCAUGUCAUCAGCAUGCGUUGAUUACGUCCCUGCCCUUUGUACACACCGCCCGUCGCUACUACCGAUU